CUUUUCCACUGACGAAGAAAGCGGAGCAGCUUUGAUUUGGAGCAAGCAGAGAGGACCAGGACAGUGCUACGACGUCAGCUUCCUUUACCUUCCAAGGAUUCAGUCAUAAAAAUCUAAAAAGUUCUCCUGUGUCAUUUUGAUCUUGUAGGACACAGUUGUGUUGGGUAUAUCCGAAUCGAUGAUGAUUCCCGAAAUUGAUACCAGGACAAAGACGUAGGUAAUCAAAACGUCACUAUCUGAUCAAUACAGAAAUAUCAAAACUAGGAUACCAGCCCGGUAUCCUGGUAUUGGUUCCAGGUUGUGCAAUCGCUUUGGACAAAAACAUCAAUAAUUGAACAUUUAAUGUUUUUAAAUUAUCAGCUCAAAUUCUGAUAAUUCUUCAAUCAAAAAAACAAAAAAAUUAAUUGUGUAAUGUAUUGAUAUUGGAUUGAUAAAACAAAUAUAACUACUACUAGAAUCUAAACCCAAGACAGAAACAUUGAUAAUUACAUUGCAAAUUUAGCCGCACGGUGGCCGACUGGUUAGAGCGUCAGCCUCGCAGUUCUGAGGACCCGGGUUCAACGUACCGCUAUCGAUUUUGGAAAGAUAUAGAAAUGUUGAUAGUGAAAAAUAGCCUUCCCAAUACUAAAAUCAAAAAGAUAUUUAUAAUGAAACUUUUAAAACGUUUGGGUUUCGGUAUUUCAUCGAGAGAAAUACUGACACUGUGAUAUCAGCCUUCCUGAGCCUGCAAUGGCUGACAUUUGUUUUUAAUUAGCCCUCAGAAGGACUUCAAGUAAACACUGACAUGUGGAAAAGUGUCCAGUCAAGUUUUUAAUCACAGCUGAUUGUCUACAACCCGGUUCCCUUUUUCUUUCGUCUUUUUUUUAAACAGGGGAACCUCUAAAACUUCCAUACACUGCUUGCUCCACUUGUUCCGAUUUGAAACUUUUACCCCACAGGAAAUAAUGGGGAAAAAAAAUAGGUCAAAUUGUCUCUAUCUUUGAACAUUUAUCUGCAUAGGCAAAGUUCAAAAUCACUUUUUAACAUUCUUAAUUGUCAGCUAGUGUAAAAAUAUGUUCACCGCUGUUAACAUUACAACAUAAAAACAAUGUCUAUUUUUUUUUUAACAUUCUUUGUCUCCCGAAUGUAAAAAUAAGUAAAACAGUCAACAUUAAAACAGCAAAAUAAAGAAACGUAUUUGGAACUCACAAAUCUUUCAUUUGUUUAGUACUUGUCACGAAUGUGUAAAAACAAGUUAGCCAAGGUUGUUAAUAAAACUGAAACAUUUGUUUAUGUUUUGCAUGAUCACUCAAGUGGAAACAAAAUAAGUUAACCACCGUUAAUACUAACACAAAAAAACAGUAAAACACAUUUGCGGCAACGCAACUAGCGCAUCGCAUUGCUUACGUUCAUUGUUGAUCAAGUGUAACCAUAAGGGAAUCUAUGUUGAUAUAACAAUGAAUAAAAUGAAAAAUAUUUUAGCGGCAAGAUGGGUGACUGGUUCGCACAUCUGCCUCACAAUUCUGAGAACUUGGGUUGAAAUGGAGUUUGCAUGUUCUCCCCGUGCCGGCGUGGGUUUUCUCCGGGUGCGCCGGCUUCAAUUUUCAGGUGUGACGCACUUUUUUCGCCCCGUUUUACUUUCAUUAUCAUUUUUCUUACUACAAUGUCUUUGAUCAUCUAUCUAUGCCAGCGACGCAUAAUGAAAGACAGAACGAUUAAAUGCUCUUGCACUAGAUGGCAGCAAGUACAAUGAACCCGUGUACCCACAUGCUGCCAUUCAUACACACGUAUAAAGCUAUUCAAGUCAACAGAUUUCACAGUACAUUUGUAAAUUGAGAUGAGAUCAUUAUUUCAGUAUUCAGUCAUUUUUGUUGGGGUGUUGUG